rnacentral:rRNA from 1 species
AUUGAACGCUGGCGGCAGGCCUAACACAUGCAAGUCGAGCGAGCGGCGGACGGGUGAGUAAUGUAUGGGGACUGCCCGAUGGAGGGGGAUAACUACUGGACACGGUGGCUAAUACCGCAUACUGUCGGAUAACCGAUAUGGGAUUGGCUAGUAGGUAAGGGAAUGGCUUACCUAGUCGAAGAUCCCUCGCUGGUCUGAGAGGAUGAUCAGCCACACUGGUACUGAGACACGGCCCAGACUCCUACGGAGGCAGCAGUGGGGAAUCUUCCGCAAUGGACGAAAGUCUGACGGAGCAACGCCGCGUGAGUGAUGACGGCCUGCGGGUUGUAAAGCGCUGUUAAUCGGGAGACGGUACCGGAAUAGAAAGCCACGGCUAACUACGUGCCAGCAGCCGCGGUAAUAC